rnacentral:rRNA from 1 species
AUACAGAGGGUGCGAGCGUUAAUCGGAAUUACUGGGCGUAAAGCGCGCGUAGGCGGUUUGUUAAGUUGGAUGUGAAAGCCCCGGGCUCAACCUGGGAACUGCAUUCAAAACUGGCAGGCUAGAGUAUGGUAGAGGGAAGUGGAAUUCCGGGUGUAGCGGUGAAAUGCGUAGAUAUCCGGAGGAACAUCAGUGGCGAAGGCGGCUUCCUGGACCAAUACUGACGCUGAGGUGCGAAAGCGUGGGGAGCAAACAGGAUUAGAAACCCCAGUAGUCC